GACGUAGGGCGCAAGCGUUGUCCGGAUUUAUUGGGCGUAAAGAGCUCGUAGGCGGCUUGUUGCGUCGUCCGUGAGAACCCGUGGCUCAACUGCGGGCUUGCGGUCGAUACGGGCAGGCUGGAGUUCGGUAGGGGAGACUGGAAUUCCUGGUGUAGCGGUGAAAUGCGCAGAUAUCAGGAGGAACACCGGUGGCGAAGGCGGGUCUCUGGGCCGAUACUGACGCUGAGGAGCGAAAGCGUGGGGAGCGAACAGG
rnacentral:rRNA from 1 species